GGGCGCAUGGUGUAGUUGGUUAUCACAUCCGCUUAGCAUUGUCGAAAAAGUCAGUGAGUAUGCGGGGGGUGCUGGGUUCAAUUCCCAGUGCGUCCA